rnacentral:rRNA from 1 species
AAGGGCGACUGAACUGUCAAGAGCUCAGCAUGUGAAUCAGCGCUCGCCCCUUUGUGAGCGCUGAAUUGUGGUCUUNCGACUUUUGCGCUCAUUGCGGUCCGACCAUGUUUUUUGGAAUAAAACAGCAUAGAGGGUGAAACUCCCGUGCGUUGGACCUGGCGAAGCAAAUUGUCACUGAGUCGAGUUGUUUGGGAUUGCAGCUCCAAUUGUACGGUGGUAAAUUCCAUCUCAAGCUAAAUACACACAAGAGACCAAUAGCGAACAAGUACCGUGAGGGAAAGAUGAAAAGAACUUUGAAAAGAGAGUGAAAGAGUACCUGAAAUUGCUGAAAAGGAAGCGAACGAAGCUAGUGACAGCUGCGUCAUACUUUCCAACUUGCUUGCAAUUUGGACGCUGUGGCCAGCCCUGUUGGGCUUGAUUGCGACAGGUGAAAACAGGCAAUGAAAAGAUUCCAUUUUCGCUCUUUGCCCCGUCUAGAAACACGGACCAAGGAGUCUAACAUAUGUGCGAGUACUGGGGUGGCAAACCUUGGUGCGCAAUGAAAGUGUCAGAGGCUGGAGCACAGUCCGCCGGCCUCAAUCCUUCGGGAAAAUGGUCUGAGUGUGAGCAUACAUGUUGGGACCCGAAAGAUGGUGAACUAUGCUUGAGUAGGGUGAAGCCAGGGGAAACUUUGGUGAAGGCUCGCAGCGAUUCUGACGUGCAAAUCGAUCGUCAAACUUGAGUAUAGGGGCGAAAGACUAAUCGAACUAUCUAGUAGCUGGUUCCCUCCGAAAUU